UCAUGAGCAGAUGAGCGAACAAGAAUUUUGAGUAUUCAUCAACAUUAAACUCACAAAAUCAAGGCAAAAACCAAGAAUUUUAUUAUGCAAGAUCCAUGUCUCUAAAAGAAAAACAAGAAAUUCUUGAUGAAGAGCAGCCACAACUGAUCAUCAGAAUUUUAGAGAACAAAAUUUCCUACCUCAAUCUUCUACGUUCUCAGCACAAACAAAAACAAAAAAAAAAGUCGGGAAUAAGAGAGCAGAAGAAAGUUUCGGAUUCUCCUCCACGAAUACGCCGUCGCCGCCUUCUUUCUUCCUACCCUUGGCAGAUGCCUCCUCCGUUGACAGCUUCAUCCUCCGUCUCCAACAGCAGCAUCCCUC
rnacentral:lncRNA from 1 species